AUGACCGAUAAUGGCAACAAAGAAGGGGCUGGACAUGGCAGCGGAGAAGAGGCCGAACAUGGCAGCGGAGAAGACGUCGACACACUGCAACCUUCCUCGCUACUAAGUUCAAUCGUGCGGGACCCUCAUGUUCGAGACCUGCUUCGCAAGGAGAUGAGUACCGAUAGAGCUGCUUCUAGAGAGGAGGCCAAGCUAGAGCAACUGGAGGUAGACUUGAACACUCCAUUGUAUGAUGGUUGCGAUACCGAGGUGACCCACUUGAGUUUCACGGUCGAACUUCUAAAGACGAAGGCUAAAAACAAAUGA
rnacentral:rRNA from 1 species